rnacentral:tRNA from 1 species
GCCCCUGUCGUAUAGAGGCCAAGUAUGCCACCCUCUCACGGUGGUGACCCGGGUUCAAAUCCCGGCGGGGGCA